rnacentral:rRNA from 1 species
CCUACGGGAGGCAGCAGUGGGGAAUAUUGGGCAAUGGGCGCAAGCCUGACCCAGCAACGCCGCGUGAAGGAAGAAGGCUUUCGGGUUGUAAACUUCUUUUCUCAGGGACGAAGAAAGUGACGGUACCUGAGGACUAAGCCACGGCUAACUACGUGCCAGCAGCCGCGGUAAUACGUAGGUGGCAAGCGUUAUCCGGAUUUAUUGGGUGUAAAGGGCGUGUAGGCGGGAGCGCAAGUAAGAGGGGACAACUCAAGGCUCAACACCGGACCUGCAAUUGAAACUGUGUUUCUUGAGUGCUGGAGCGGCAAGCGGAAUGGCGGGUGUAGCGGUGAAAUGCGUAGAGAUACGAAGGAACACCAGUGGCGAAGGCGGAUUGCUGGACAGUAACUGACGCUGAGGCGCGAAAGCGUGGGGAGCAAACAGGAUUAGAUACCCUUGUAGUC